rnacentral:rRNA from 1 species
UACAGAGGUCUCAAGCGUUGUUCGGAUUCAUUGGGCGUAAAGGGUACGUAGGUGGCGCCGUAAGUCGGGUGUGAAAUUUCGGAGCUUAACUCCGAAACUGCAUUCGAUACUGCGGUGCUUGAGGACUGGAGAGGAGACUGGAAUUCAUGGUGUAGCAGUGAAAUGCGUAGAGAUCAUGAGGAAGACCAGUGGCGAAGGCGGGUCUCUGGACAGUUCCUGACACUGAGGCACGAAGGCCAGGGGAGCAAACGGG